AGUUGAAUGACUGAAAAGAAAGUGUUAACCUUUUAAGUUUAUUAUAGUAAAAUCGCCUACUUUCAAC
rnacentral:tRNA from 1 species